UACGUAGGGUGCGAGCGUUGUCCGGAUUUAUUGGGCGUAAAGAGCUCGUAGGCGGUUUGUCGCGUCGGCCGUGAAAUCUCCACGCUUAACGUGGAGCGUGCGGUCGAUACGGGCAGGCUGAGUUCGGUAGGGAGAUGGAAUUCCUGGUGUAGCGGUGAAAUGCGCAGAUAUCAGGAAGGAACACCCGGUGGCGAAGGCGGGUCUC
rnacentral:rRNA from 1 species